rnacentral:rRNA from 1 species
GACGAACGCUGGCGGCGUGCUUAACACAUGCAAGUCGAACGGAAAGGCCCUGCUUUUGUGGGGUGCUCGAGUGGCGAACGGGUGAGUAACACGUGAGUAACCUGCCCUUGACUUUGGGAUAACUUCAGGAAACUGGGGCUAAUACCGGAUAGGAGCUCCUGCUGCAUGGUGGGGGUUGGAAAGUUUCGGCGGUUGGGGAUGGACUCGCGGCUUAUCAGCUUGUUGGUGGGGGAGUGGCUUACCAAGGCUUUGACGGGUAGCCGGCCUGAGAGGGUGACCGGCCACAUUGGGACUGAGAUACGGCCCAGACUCCUACGGGAGGCAGCAGUGGGGAAUAUUGCACAAUGGGCGGAAGCCUGAUGCAGAAGCGCCGCGUGCGGGAUGACGGCCUUCGGGUUGUAAACCGCUUUCGCCUGUGACGAAGCGUGAGUGACGGUAAUGGGUAAAGAAGCACCGGCUAACUACGUG